GACGAACGCUGGCGGCGUGCUUAACACAUGCAAGUCGAACGGAAAGGCCCUGCUUUUGUGGGGUGCUCGAGUGGCGAACGGGUGAGUAACACGUGAGUAACCUGCCCUUGACUUUGGGAUAACUUCAGGAAACUGGGGCUAAUACCGGAUAGGAGCUCCUGCUGCAUGGUGGGGGUUGGAAAGUUUCGGCGGUUGGGGAUGGACUCGCGGCUUAUCAGCUUGUUGGUGGGGUAGUGGCUUUCCAAGGCUUUGAAGGGUAGCCGGCCUGAGAGGGUGACCGGCCACAUUGGGACUGAGAUACGGCCCAGAAGCCUACGGGAGGCAGCAGUGGGGAAUAUUGCACAAUGGGCGGAAGCCUGAUGCAGCAACGCCGCGUGCGGGAUGACGGCCUUCGGGUUGUAAACCGCUUUCGCCUGUGACGAAGCGUGAGUGACGGUAAUGGGUAAAGAAGCACCGGCUAACUACGUG
rnacentral:rRNA from 1 species